rnacentral:misc_RNA from 1 species
GAUGAAGAACGCAGCGAAAUGCGAUACUUGGUGUGAAUUGCAGAAUCCCGUGAACCAUCGAGUCUUUGAACACAAGUUGCGCCUCAAGCCAUUAGGUUGAGGGCACGUCUGCCUGGGCGUCACAUAUCGUUGCCUGAUGCCAGUUUCCUCGUGAUGGGUGACUGUGCAGGGCGAAUGAUGGCUUCCCGUGAGCAUUGUUGCCUCAUGGUUGGUUGAAAAUUGAGUCCUUGGUAGGGAGCGCCGUGAUAGAUGGUGGUUGAGUGACGAACGAGACCCAAUCAUGUGAGACCCCUACCGAAUUUGGCCUUCAUGACCCACAUGCGUCUUUGGAACGCUCAUGACGAGACCUCAGGUCAGGCGGGGCUACCCGCUGAGUUUAAGCAUAUCAAUAAGCGGAGGA